UUGGGGGGCAGCUCUGGGAUGUAUGUGGGGUCCAUAGUGAGGGGUAAAGGGGGAGACUGCCCCCAGCCUGCCCACCCUGUUUCUGUUUUUAUCCCCAGGGCAAAAGCUUUCAGAGCAGCAGGAACCAUGGGGAGGUGCUGCCUCAGCAAGGGGCCAAUCUGGAGGACCAGAGCCCCUGCCUCCCUGAACUGAGCCCUGGUGUUGCCAGGAGAAGAGCAUGGCAGGUUGGGGGGACAGGGCAGGGAAGGGACCAGCCAACCUGGUCUCCCAAGAGAACUCCCUGAGCUUGGGAAAACUAUGGCAAGGCCAGGUGGAUGAUCUGUGUUGGGGGUGACCCAGGCAGACAGGAUGAGCUUGGCACAGCUCUGGCUGCAGCUCAGGGCAAGAGCUGCCAACAUGCUGAGAGCUGGCAGGGGGAAUUGCCCAGGAGCUGCCCCUAGGGAACAUCUGGAAGCCCUUGCUCGCUGAGGACAGGCCAGUCAGGGCUCUGCUUAGGGGCAGUUCAGACUGUUGAUCUUUGGUUCCUGGACUGCCCUGGGGCAAAGGAGGUGCAAGGGUCUGGACACCCAUUCAGUGCUGCUCAUGCUUUUAAACAGAGCCAGUGGACCUUGGAGACUUCCAAGACCCUGCUUUCCUAGUGGGACGGUGCACACUUGGUCACCACAGGCUGUAGGCCUGUAGGUUCCUGACUGGGGAGAAAAGGGCUGGAUGAAAGGUAAGGAGAGGGGCUGCUAGAGUUGGGGGAUUCUCACCUCCAAGAGCUGUGUGGCUUGCACAGCCUCUAAGCCACCAUAAAGUGGUGUCCUCCCCAUCCCAUAGCAGUGGUGCCUUCUAGGGAGCUUGUCGGUGGGCAGCAUCCCCCACUGUCUGCUUCUGCCUUGUGGAAGAGACGGGAGAUGAGAACCCAGGUGUUUUGUUCGAUCCACCAGGCAAUUAGUGACCCCUCCUCCUGGCUCCCAGGAAACCGACACAUGUAUGAUUGUUGCUCUGAAGGGCUACCCACAUCACCCCUGGGAGUGUCCCCUACUUCGGGAGACCCCUUCAAGGAACAGCCCUGAGCCUGCGCGGUAGGUGCUGCAAAGGUGGGCAGGCCCUGCACUGCUGUCCUUGGUGCUGAAGAGGCAGUUCCCCACUUGUCCCAGGCUUUGCAGUCCUGGUGCUGGACUAUUCACCCCCCUCCCAAAACUCAAGCCUUCUGCCUCCCCCGUGCCCUCUCCGAUCUGUGCUCCUGGAGGGAACUGCUCCCUCCUCCUGCACCGGAAUAGAAAUAGACAUUGGUGUUGUUGGAUCUCAGCUCUUCUAGAAGUCUCUUGUGUACGGAAAGAGUCCUGUUGUUGGCUGGUUGUUUCUUACUGCUACAGGAAAUGACCCAGAUUGGGGUUGUGUUCUGCAGGGUGUUCUCCGAUGGCUCAGCCUCCCCUACUUACAGCUGUGGCUGUGUGUAGUGGGGACUGUGGAGAAGGGAGUGUUUCUAGCUCAGAUGCGUAGAGGAGGACUCCCAAGUGUCACAAGCAUUGGCUGGUGCAUGGGGAAGGGUUGGGCACCAAUACUUGGCAUUUGCAGAGGGUGGGAUGGAGCCUGCCUCCAUUAGGUGAUGCUUGGCUGGUGCAGGAGGAUUCUCCCCUGGGGAGUGGUAUGCUGGUGAUGGCAGCGUUGUAACACAUCCAAGCAGCGUUGCCAGCAAAAGAGCUAUGUGUGAGAUGCCAUCUGCACUGCACCACUGAGGUACUGGUUCAGGUUGCUGAACCUGGGAGCCCCCAGGGCUGGAAGCUGCUGAGCAGUGGAAGCUGAGGCUGAAGACAGAUGUGCAAACAGAGAAGAGAUAGUUAAGCAGGGGUGGGGUAUCAGCAGCAAAGGGCAACAGCGCAUGGGAUAAUUAUGGAGACACCUCCUGGUCUUAACCAGAGUUAGCCUUUGAGUGCAUGUUACUAGCAGCCUCCAGAAAUCCCAAGCGAGUCUGCAGCCCCAUGGUGAAGAGCACAUUAUUAGCAAGAAGAAGGUGGCCCCCAUGGAGAGGGGAUGGCCCUAGGAAGCAGUGCACAUCAGUGGUAGCUUUCAGUUCCUGGUUCUUGGUGCCCAGUAAGUGGGAAUCCUUGCUUGCAGGCCUGGUUACUGGACACUGGACACGGACAAUGGUGUUACAAUUCCUUGUAGUUCUCCGGAUCCUCCUUCUUCCCUUUUGUAAAGAUAGGCACUAUAUUUGACAGGGGAGGAUUUCCCAGCUAAUUCCAGCUGUGAUUCCCAUUGUUCAUUGGCCACUUGAAAUGACUCAGCAGCCCUUGAAAUGCCCUGCAUGGUGCCCUGCUGGUUCCACAACCUGGUGUGGCUCCCUGCUGCCACACUGCUCCCAGCUUCACUGUCCCCAGCCCCAGGGGGGCCAGGGGAGAGGCGAUCUGGUGCUGGGCUGUGUCUGACGGGCUUUGCUCUUUGGCUUCCCUUCUCGUAGCCUCUGGUGCCUGCUCCAUGUUGUGGUAUUUAACUUCACUGUCUAUGCUACUAGUCUGUCCCCUGUGCACUGUUUACUGGUGCAGGGAAGUUCCUGCCUUUGCUUUGGUCUCUGCUCAAGCUGGGGUGGGGGGACAGUGACUGCUGCAACGGUAGCUCAGGGUGACAGGAAGGUCUGAGCUGUCUCUGCUGGGUGACCUCGCCUGAGUUCUUCCUCACCCUGCUAUGAGAAGGAUGCCAGGAUGUCUGGACAUUAGAGAAGAGGCCAUGCACUUGGGAGAAGAUCCUGUCCUUUUCUGCAGGGACGUCCCUGACUUUUGCAGAGAGAGGGAGUGAACUGUGUUAGUCUAAAGUCAGGUACAAGGCAUGGUAGGUUUGCACCUUCCAGACUAAUGAAAUCAAAGAUGAAUAAACAUUCAUAAGCAGCAGCUCACUUCAUCCAUUGCUGUGCUGGCAAGAAUGGCAGUCCCUUACAAAAGCCUCUGCAUCUCUGAUUUAGUUGGUCUACUGUAUAGUAAAGAGUCCUGGGGCCAGGAGAAGGAGCGUGACUGCAGUAUUCACUGGAGAUGGUGAAGUAAGUUAAGUUCUUAGUUAAGUUCUCCUCCAGCGGGCUUUAAACUAGGCUUGUUGGGUGAAGGGGAUGGUGUGAGCGGAGGAAGCCUCAGACAAGCAAGCCAAGCAUCGCCGGCAGGAACGGCCCAGCCUAAACCGAUGACAAGAGAAACAGGUAAUCAGGUAAGUGACAUGGGCCUGGGUACCACUGGGAUUAGGGGGGCGGUCCAUUCAUCUUCAGGAGGCCUCAAAUGCCUCUAUGCUAAUGCUCGCACCAUGGGGAACAAGCAGGAGGAACUAGUCCUCCUGAGUGGGGCUCACCGAAACAUGGUGGGACCCAACGCAUGACCGGGCAGUGAAUAUCAAGGGCUACAGACUCUACAGGAAAGAUAGGACAGGCAGGAAGGGUGGGGAUGUGGCGCUCUAUGUCAAGGAGCAACACACAUCCACAGUGAGUAACACUGGGUCAGAGGAGGAGCAAAUGGAAGUGCUCUGGGUUAGAAUACAAGGGGGUCGAGGAGAAAGGGACUUAAUGGUGGGGGUCUACUACAGACCACCCAACCAAGGAGGAGAUCGAGACCAGGAAUUCUUAAGUCAGCUCACAGAGAUAGUUAGGUCCAAGGAUGUGGUUGUCAUGGGUGAUCUAAACUUGCCAGACAUCUGCUGGGAGGAGCAGACAGCCAGGUCUGACUGCUCAUGCAGGUUCUUAACUGACAUACAGGACCUCCAUCCUAACCCAGGAGGUACACAGCCCCAGCAGGGGAGACGCCUUGUUGGAUUUGGUCCUGGCCACAGGCGAUGACCUGGUAUGGGGUCUGCGGGUGCUCGACCACCUGGGCCAUAGCGAUUAUCGUCUGCUGGAAUUCACCAUUCAGCACAAGGUGGCGAAAGCCUCCAGCAAGGCAGCAGCCCUCGACUUCAGGAGGGCGGACUUUAACAAGAGUGAUCUUAACCAGCAGGCAACCGGAGAAAGAGGAAGCACUUUCCACCACAUCUUUGAAUGAAGUAGCCAUUGCUGCAGUGUUUUGUCCUUGACGACUAAAGCACAGCUGAAGCAGUUGCAAAGGGAAUAAGGUGAGCUACAAGAGAAGAAGUCAUCCCUCAGGACUGCCACCUCGUUUCUGACUUUUUUAAAAGAAUUGCAAAAAGAAUAUUCAGAUUGCAGAGAAACACCUGCUGGAAAAAGUAACUAGUAUGGUGUUUCCAAACUACCUGCUCUUCUGAUGGGAUCUUAAAAAAUUUUAGGAGCUGAGAAGCACUUGCAAGUAAUCAACACAAGAUUACAACAGGUUUUGAAGUUACAAAAGUCACCAGAGAAAUCUUAAAACGCUUUAUACCAGGCGCUCCCAAACUGUGGUACGCGUAGCCCUAGGGGUAUGCAAAACAUCUCUGGGGAUACGCAGGAGAAAUUCUGUAAUGGCGGAUUUAAUUUUCAUUGUAAUAAUUGGCAUUUACAGGGUUAAAAUAUAAAAAGUAGGCUGCUAGGGGUGAGCGGACAGCUGCUAAAUCUGGAUGGGGGUACGCAUAAGAAAAAGUUUUGGAACCUCUGCCUUAUACAAAACAUUUUAAAAGACUUUUUUCAACUAAGCAUGAACUAUUUUACUUUUCUUUUCGAAUGUAAAUGUACAACAAAGACAAGUGCGAAGUGCUGCACCUGGGCAAAGAGAACCACCAACAAACUUACAGGCUGGGGGAUGACCUCAGCAGCAGAGCAGCGGAAAAGGAUCUUGGAGUCAUAGUUGACUCCAAGAUGAACAUGAGUUGUCAAUGUGACAAAGUGAUCAACAAGGCUAACGCACUCUAUCAUGCAAUAGCAGAUGCAUGAUGAACAGGUCCAGGGAGGUGGUGCUUCCCCUCUAUGCGGCACUAGUGAGGCUGCAGUUGGAGUACUGCAUCCAGUUUUGGGCGCCACACUUCAAGAGGGAUGCGGAGAAUCUUGAGAGGGUUCAGAGGAGGGCGGCUCGUAUGGUCAGAGGCCUGCAGGUAAGGCCCUACGAGGAGAAACUGAGGGACCUACACCUCUUCAGCCUUCGCAAGAGAAGGCUGAGAGGUGAUCUUGUGGCUGCCUAUAAAUUCAUCAGGGGAGGGUGGCAGGGAAUAGGAGAUGCUCUGUUUACUAGGGCACCCCCUGGAGUAACUAGGAACAAUGGCCACAAAUUGACAGAGCAGAUUUAGGUUGGACGUUAGAAAGAACUUCACAGUAAGGAUUGCCAGAAUCUGGAAUGGGCUCCAAGGGAGGUGGUGCUCUCCCCUACCCUGGGGGUCUUCAAGAGGUGACUGGACAAGCACCUACCUGGCAUCAUCUGACCUCAGCGCUCUUUCCUGCCCAGGGUAGGGGGGUCAGACUCAAUGACCUACUGAGGUCCCUUCCAACCCUAACAUCUAUGAAUCUAUGUAUUCAUAGCUCUAGUCCAGUAUUAAUGCACUUUCCUCCUGUGCUAGUAGUUCAGGACUACUGUACUUAAAGCUAAGGUCACAUUUAGCUCUCAUUGACAUAGCUAUGAUUUGCACUCCAUUUUAGAUAGGAAAGAAGCAACAAUUACAACUGCACAUAAGCAUUUAGUAAAAUAAACUCCAUGUUUUUAGUUGA